GCGCCUCUAGCUCAAUCGGCAGAGCAAUUGACUCUUAAUCAAUGGGUUCAGGGUUCAAGUCCCUGGGGGCGCACCGAUA
rnacentral:tRNA from 1 species